rnacentral:rRNA from 1 species
CGCGUAGGCUGUGCUGUAAGUCAGGCGUGAAAUCCCCGGGCUCAACCUGGGAAUUGCGCAUGAUACUGCGGCGCUGGAAGACGGGAGAGGAUGGCGGAAUUCCCAGUGUAGAGGUGAAAUUCGUAGAUAUUGGGAAGAACACCGGUGGCGAAGGCGGCCAUCUGGCCCGUAUUUGACGCUGAGGCGCGAAAGCGUGGGGAGCAAACAGGAUUAGAUACCCUGGUAGUCCACGCUGUAAACGAUGAGUGCUAGACGUCGGGGAGCUUGCUCUUCGGUGUCGCCGCUAACGCAUUAAGCACUCCGCCUGGGGAGUACGGUCGCAAGAUUAAA